UGUGAAAUUCCGGGGCUUAACUCCGGGCGUGCAGGCGAUACGGGCAUAACUUGAGUGCUGUAGGGGAGACUGGAAUUCCUGGUGUAGCGGUGAAAUGCGCAGAUAUCAGGAGGAACACCAAUGGCGAAGGCAGGUCUCUGGGCAGUAACUGACGCUGAGGAGCGAAAGCAUGGGUAGCGAACAGGAUUAGAUACCCUGGUAGUCCAUGCCGUAAACGGUGGGCGCUAGGUGUGGGGGUCUUCCACGACUUCUGUGCCGUAGCUAACGCAUUAAGCGCCCCGCCUGGGGAGUACGGCCGCAAGGCUAAAACUCAAAGGAAUUGACGGGGGCCCGCACAAGCGGCGGAGCAUGUGGAUUAAUUCGAUGCAACGCGAAGAACCUUACCUGGGCUUGACAUAUGCCGGAUCGGCGCAGAGAUGCGUUUUCCCUUGUGGUCGGUAUACAGGUGGUGCAUGGUUGUCGUCAGCUCGUGUCGUGAGAUGUUGGGUUAAGUCCCGCAACGAGCGCAACCCUUGUCUUGUGUUGCCAGCACGUUAUGGUGGGGACUCGCGAGAGACUGCCGGGGUUAACUCGGAGGAAGGUGGGGAUGACGUCAAAUCAUCAUGCCCCUUAUGUCCAGGGCUUCACACAUGCUACAAUGGUCGGUACAGUGGGUUGCUACACCGUGAGGUGGUGCUAAUCCCUUAAAGCCGGUCUCAGUUCGGAUUGGAGUCUGCAACUCGACUCCAUGAAGUCGGAGUCGCUAGUAAUCGCAGAUCAGCAACGCUGCGGUGAAUACGUUCCCGGGCCUUGUACACACCGCCCGUCACGUCAUGAAAGUUGGUAACACCCGAAGCCAGUGGCCCAAACUCGUUAGGGAGCG
rnacentral:rRNA from 1 species